rnacentral:rRNA from 1 species
AUUGAACGCUGGCGGCAGGCCUAACACAUGCAAGUCGAACGGUAACAGGAAACAGCUUGCUGUUUCGCUGACGAGUGGCGGACGGGUGAGUAAUGUCUGGGAAACUGCCUGAUGGAGGGGGAUAACUACUGGAAACGGUAGCUAAUACCGCAUAACGUCGCAAGACCAAAGAGGGGGACCUUCGGGCCUCUUGCCAUCGGAUGUGCCCAGAUGGGAUUAGCUAGUAGGUGGGGUAACGGCUCACCUAGGCGACGAUCCCUAGCUGGUCUGAGAGGAUGACCGGCCACACUGGAACUGAGACACGGUCCAGACUCCUACGGGAGGCAGCAGUGGGGAAUAUUGCACAAUGGGCGCAAGCCUGAUGCAGCCAUGCCGCGUGUAUGAAGAAGGCCUUCGGGUUGUAAAGUACUUUCAGCGGGGAGGAAGGGAGUAAAGUUAAUACCUUUGCUCAUUGACGUUACCCGCAGAAGAAGCACCGGCUAACUCCGUG